rnacentral:rRNA from 1 species
CAGCCGCCGCGGUAAUACAGAGGUGCCAAGCGUUAGGCGGAAUCACUGGGCUUAAAGCGUGUGUAGGCGGAUGCCUAAGUACCUUGUGAAAUCCCACGGCUUAACCGUGGAACUGCUCGGUAUACUGGGUGUCUUGAGCUGUCUAGGGGCUACCGGAACAAAUGGUGGAGCGGUGAAAUGCGUAGAUAUCAUUUGGAACGCCAAUGGUGAAAACAGGUAGCUGGGGACAUGCUGACGCUGAGACACGAAAGCUAGGGGAGCAAACGGGAUUAGAUACCCCAGUAGUCCCUGUCUCUUAUAA